rnacentral:rRNA from 1 species
CCUACGGUAGGCAGCAGUGGGGAAUAUUGCACAAUGGGGGAAACCCUGAUGCAGCGACGCCGCGUGAGUGAGGAAGUAUUUCGGUAUGUAAAGCUCUAUCAGCAGGGAAGAAAAUGACGGUACCUGACUAAGAAGCCCCGGCUAACUACGUGCCAGCAGCCGCGGUAAUACGUAGGGGGCAAGCGUUAUCCGGAUUUACUGGGUGUAAAGGGAGCGUAGACGGCUAAUCAAGUCAGAAGUGAAAACCCAGGGCUCAACCUUGGGAGUGCUUUUGAAACUGAGUAGCUAGAGUGCAGGAGAGGUAAGCGGAAUUCCUAGUGUAGCGGUGAAAUGCGUAGAUAUUAGGAGGAACACCAGUGGCGAAGGCAGCUUGCUGCAGCGGAACUGACGCUGAUGCUCGAAAGCGCGGGUAUCGAACAGGAUUAGAUACCCCAGUAGUC